AGAUGACCUGAGCAACAGUAGCGAUCCAUCCGUGAGCAGCUGGCAGUGCACAAGCUACGUCAAGCACCAGCUAAAAAAAAACAAAAGAAAGAAAAAAAAGGCACACAUACAAACAAACCAAAAACGUAGUCCAUUUUGUAAUGUCCAAGUACUCCUGAGUAUGAAGCCUGUUCCGAAGCACGGUUGAUCUACCCAGGGACACUGCCUUGAAGAAUCAGAUUCCUCGGACUGGGAGCUAUCAAUUGUGAAUAGCUUCUUGGCUAAGACAGAUAAUAUGCCAUGAGGAACCCCUUGUUUUUCCGCACAUCUCUUAAGUACAGAAGGAGCUCGAACAAAAGUGGAGGCAAAACGCAGCCUACAAAAGGUCCUCUCAGCUAAGAGUGCCCUGUGCUCCUGUUUGGAGGUGAGACGCCAGCUCCCCGUUCCUCACGGCACUCAGAUGCAUCAUUCUCUACAUUUCCAAGAGACUCAGCCCUAACAACCAAGUGCGCAUCGUGGUGGGAAAUAAUGCAGAUUCAACAAGAUCACAACCUCCGUGCGAAAACUGCUCUUAAUGAGGUGCUGUGUAUGAAUUAAUUAAAUUAGUUUGCCCCUCGUGUGGCAAGCCCUGGUUAGCGUUUAUCUGCUUCCCUAAUUUAUGUGUGUAAAAUCACAGAGCAGCCUCGGCCUUGCUUGUUUUCAGCAAAGAGAUGGUCUAAUUUGUAGGAAGACAUUACC
ensembl:lncRNA